rnacentral:rRNA from 1 species
GACGAACGCUGGCGGCGUGCUUAACACAUGCAAGUCGAACGGUAAGGCCCUUCGGGGUACACGGGUGGCGAACGGGUGAGUAACACGUGGGUGAUCUGCCCUGCACUUCGGGAUAAGCCUGGGAAACUGGGUCUAAUACCGGAUAGGACCACUGCCUGCAUGGGUGGUGGUGGAAAGCUUUUGCGGUGUGGGAUGGGCCCGCGGCCUAUCAGCUUGUUGGUGGGGUGAUGGCCUACCAAGGCGACGACGGGUAGCGGGCCUGAGAGGGUGACCGGCCACACUGGGACUGAGAUACGGCCCAGACUCCUACGGGAGGCAGCAGUGGGGAGUAUUGCACAAUGGGCGCAAGCCUGAUGCAGCGACGCCGCGUGAGGGAUGACUGCCUUCGGGUUGUAAACCUCUUUCAGCACCGACGAAGCGCAAGUGACGGUAGGUGCAGAAGAAGGACCGGCCAACUACGUGCCAGCCGCCGCAGUAACAC